GCCCUCUUAGCUCAGUGGUAGAGCGUGUCACUCGUAUGUGAAGGAAGAUAUCCCAUGCGUUAUGACAAGGUCAGUCGUUCAAGUCGGCUAGGGGGCA